UUCUUUCGGGUCUGUAGUUGCGGGGGCAAAAAGGCUCCUUAGUCCAUGGCAGAUGCGGUCAAAAGGAUCCACGUAAGUACGCGCCGCCCUAAUAUAGGCGCGUGCGAGCAUGGCGUAUCCUAGAAGUAAGUCGCACCUCCCGGCCGAUUUUUGCGGCAACGCCGCACUGGGGGAGAGGGCAGAGCGAAAUCAAUCGCAAAACCCCAGUGCGCGAGUGUGGGGGCAAAGACUAGGUCAGCCGAAAGAA
rnacentral:ncRNA from 12 species